rnacentral:rRNA from 1 species
AUGGCGCGCCGGGAGACGGUGGCCAAGGAGUCGUCCUCGCAGGCGGUGAGCCGGAUCGUGUCCAGCUGCGCCAACUCGACCGGCCUGGCCCCCGUCCACCCGUCGUCGACGCCGACGCCGUCAUCUCGCUCGCCUCCACCGCGGGCCGGCUGGUCAAGAUGCCAGAGGUGCUCGAGGAGGUGCGCGACGCCACAACGCUCUGGAGGCUCGCGCUCCUGCCCACCCCCGUCGAGACCAUCGAGCAAGAGAGUAGGGCCAGCUCGAACCGUGUGCACCAGGAAGAAGGCUAGCUCGAACAUUGUUUGGUGA